GAAUAGAGAAGAGGAAAAAAAAAAAAUCUGAAACACAGGUGUUUGUUAACCAUUCAAGGGAAACAGGAAAAAACAAAGGAUUCAGGGAGCAUUUUUUUUUUUCAAAAGAGGACAUUCCAUUGUGAGGCAUCCUCUCCUCUCUUCACUUGCAACACAAAACAGUGCCGUCCAUUCCAGGAGGAACUCUACCACUUUCCAUGUAUAAAUACAAUACCCACCCUGUAGUAGUUGAGCAGCCCAUGCCAUGAGAGUGAUAGAGAAGCUCACGUCUGAGACUCAGAAGAAAGCUAGACUGAUUUGCAGUCGAGAGCUAAAUUCUUACCCAAACUGCUCCUGCUUUGGAUUCCUAUAAGCAGCUCUGAUUCUUGCAGCUUGACAGUUCGACAGGAUUAAAGUGAACACGGAUGGACCCUGCUUGAGUCAGAGGACUGUCUCUUCUUUCUGCCUUUCAGACAGAGGACUGUUCAACGUCAGGAAAACAUUUUACUAGAAGGAUAAAGUAAAAUUCUGGAAAUUUACAAGAACUUGUUUCUGGAACUCUGCAAGAACUUGUUUGUGGAAACUCAAAAGAGAUUGUCGCUCUUGAACACCUAUUGUGCAUUGAUGAGGUUGAUCUGUCCUUGGCAGCUGGAGAGAAUUUAUCACGGAAGGUCUUAAGAGUUUAAAAAUUGGCAAAAAUAAAACAGCAGAUGUAACUCACUGCUGAUAAG